GCAUAUCAAUAAGCGGAGGAAAAGAAAAUAACAAUGAUUUCCUUAGUAACGGCGAGUGAACAGGAAAAAGCUCAAAGUUGGAACCUGUUUGGCCUAGCUAAACCGGAUUGUAAACUGUAGAAGUGUUUUCCAGGCAAGCCGGACCGAUAAGUCCUUUGGAACAGGGCAUCAUAGAGGGUGAGAAUCCCGUCUUCGGUCUGAGCAUUUGCCUUUUGCGAUACACUUUCAAAGAGUCAGGUUGUUUGGGAAUGCAGCCUAAAUUGGGUGGUAAAUCUCACCUAAAGCUAAAUAUUGGCGAGAAACCGAUAGCGAACAAGUACCGUGAGGGAAAGAUGAAAAGAACUUUGAAAAGAGAGUUAAACAGUAUGUGAAAUUGUUAAAAGGGAACCGUUUGGAGCCAGACUGGCUUGUCUGUAAUCAGUCUAAGCUUCGGCUUGGAUGCACUUGCAGGCUAUGCCUGCCAACGACAAUUUGGCUUGAGGGAAAAAACUAAGGGAAAUGUGGCCCAUCCGUGGGUGUUAUAGUCCCUUAGAAAAUACCUUGGGCUGGAUUGAGGUACGCAGCGAAUGCUAUUUGGCGAGUUGGCUGGGAAUAUUUUCUGAGGUGCUUUGGUACUGAGGUUGAUAUUCCUAGUUACACUUCUAUUCGCUUAGGUUGUUGGCUUAAUGACUCUAAAUGACCCGUCUUGAAACACGGACC
rnacentral:rRNA from 2 species